CGUGUAGGCGGACUCGCAAGUCGGUUGUGAAAUCCCUGGGCUCAACCUAGGAACUGCAUCCGAAACUGCUUGUCUUGAGUAAUGGAGAGGGUGGCGGAAUUCCCGGUGUAGAGGUGAAAUUCGUAGAUAUCGGGAGGAACAUCAGUGGCGAAGGCGGCCACCUGGACAUUUACUGACGCUGAGACGCGAAAGCGGUGGGGAGCAAACA
rnacentral:rRNA from 1 species